GCGAAAACUUUACAAUGCGAGAAAUCGUGAUAAGGGAACUCUGAGUGCCCGUAAAAUCGGGCUGUCCAUCUGUUUAAAUAACAGGUGAAGAAAGGGCCGGGCAAGACCGGUGCCAGCCGCCGCGGUAAUACCGGCGGCUCGAGUGGUGGCCACUAUUACUGGGCUUAAAGCGUCCGUAGCUGGUCUGUUAAGUCUCUGGGGAAAUCUUCCGGCUCAACCGGAAGGCGUCUCAGGGAUACUGGCAGACUAGGGACCGGGAGAGGUGAGAGGUACUCCAGGGGUAGGAGUGAAAUCCUGUAAUCCUUGGGGGACCACCUGUGGCGAAGGCGUCUCACCAGAACGGCUCCGACAGUGAGGGACGAAAGCUGGGGGAGCAAACC
rnacentral:rRNA from 1 species